AAAUGAAUAGACGGGGGCCCGCACAAGCAGCGGAGCAUGUGGUUUAAUUCGAAGCAACGCGAAGAACCUUACCAAGGCUUGACAUCUGCUGACAGGUGUAGAGAUACACCCUCCCUUCGGGGCAGCAAGACAGGUGGUGCAUGGUUGUCGUCAGCUCGUGUCGUGAGAUGUUGGGUUAAGUCCCGCAACGAGCGCAACCCCUAUGAUUAGUUGCCAGCGCGUAAAGGCGGGAACUCUAAUCAGACUGCCGUGGACAACUCGGAGGAAGGUGGGGACGACGUCAAAUCAUCAUGCCCCUUAUGUCUUGGGCUACACACGUGCUACAAUGGCCGGUACAAAGAGCAGCAAGCCCGCAAGGGUAAGCGAAUCUCAUAAAACCGGUCUCAGUUCGGAUUGUGGGCUGCAACCCGCCCACAUGAAGUCGGAGUUGCUAGUAAUCGCAAAUCAGAAUGUUGCGGUGAAUGCGUUCCCGGGCCUUGCACACACCGCCCGU
rnacentral:rRNA from 1 species